rnacentral:rRNA from 1 species
UACGUAGGCAGCAAGCGUUGUUCGGAAUUACUGGGCGUAAAGCGUGCGCAGGCGGCUAUGCAAGACAGAUGUGAAAUCCCCGGGCUCAACCUGGGAACUGCAUUUGUGACUGCAUGGCUAGAGUACGGUAGAGGGGGAUGGAAUUCCGCGUGUAGCAGUGAAAUGCGUAGAUAUGCGGAGGAACACCGAUGGCGAAGGCAAUCCCCUGGACCUGUACUGACGCUCAUGCACGAAAGCGUGGGGAGCAAACAGG